GGAGGGGGCCAGCGUUGUUCGGAAUCAUUGGGCGUAAAGGGCGCGUAGGCGGCUGCGCAAGUCGAAAGUGAAAUCCCUCGGCUCAACCGAGGAACUGCUUUCGAUACUGCGUGGCUUGAGUCCCGGAGAGGGUGGCGGAAUUCCCAGUGUAGCGGUGAAAUGCGUAGAUACUGGGAGGAACACCGGUGGCGAAGGCGGCUACCUGGACGGGUACUGACGCUGAUGCGCGAAAGCUAGGGGAGCAAACAGGGAUUAGAUACCCUGGUAGUCCUAGCUGUAAACGAUGAGCACUUGGUGUUGCGGGUAUGACCCCCUGCAGUGCCGAAGCUAACGCAUUAAGUGCUCCGCCCUGGGAGUACGGUCGCAAGGCUG
rnacentral:rRNA from 1 species